UGGAGGGCAAGUCUGGUGCCAGCAGCCGCGGUAAUUCCAGCUCCAAUAGCGUAUAUUAAAGUUGUUGCAGUUAAAAAGCUCGUAGUUGAACCUUGGGCCUGGCUGGCCGGUCCGCCUCACCGCGUGUACUGGUCCGGCCGGGCCUUUCCUUCUGGGGAACCUCAUGCCCUUCACUGGGCGUGUUGGGGAACCAGGACUUUUACUUUGAAAAAAUUAGAGUGUUCAAAGCAGGCCUUUGCUCGAAUACAUUAGCAUGGAAUAAUAGAAUAGGACGUGUGGUUCUAUUUUGUUGGUUUCUAGGACCGCCGUAAUGAUUAAUAGGGAUAGUCGGGGGCAUCAGUAUUCAAUCGUCAGAGGUGAAAUUCUUGGAUUGAUUGAAGACUAACUACUGCGAAAGCAUUUGCCAAGGAUGUUUUCAUUAAUCAGUGAACGAAAGUUAGGGGAUCGAAGACGAUCAGAUACCGUCGUAGUCUUAACCAUAAACUAUGCCGACUAGGGAUCGGACGGUGUUAGUAUUUUGACCCGUUCGGCACCUUACGGGAAAC
rnacentral:rRNA from 1 species